rnacentral:rRNA from 1 species
UUCGGGUUGUAAAGCACUUUCAGUCGUGAGGAAGGUAGUGUAGUUAAUAGCUGCAUUAUUUGACGUUAGCGACAGAAGAAGCACCGGCUAACUCCGUGCCAGCAGCCGCGGUAAUACGGGAGGGUGCGAGCGUUAAUCGGAAUUACUGGGCGUAAAGCGCAUGCAGGUGGUUUGUUAAGUCAGAUGUGAAAGACCCGGGGCGUCAACCUACGGAAUAGCAUUUAGUAAACUGGCAGACUAGAGUACUGUAGAGGGGGGUAGGAAUUUCAGGUGUAGCGGUGAAAUGCGUAGAGAUCUGAAGGAAUACCGGUGGCGAAGGCGGCCCCCUGGACAGAUAUUGACACUCAGAUGCGAAAGCGUGGGGAGCAAACAGGAUUAGAUACCCUGGUAG